UACGUAGGGGGCAAGCGUUAUCCGGAAUUAUUGGGCGUAAAGAGCUCGUAGGCGGUUUGUCGCGUCUGCCGUGAAAGUCCGGGGCUCAACUCCGGAUCUGCGGUGGGUACGGGCAGACUAGAGUGAUGUAGGGGAGACUGGAAUUCCUGGUGUAGCGGUGAAAUGCGCAGAUAUCAGGAGGAACACCGAUGGCGAAGGCAGGUCUCUGGGCAUUAACUGACGCUGAGGAGCGAAAGCGUGGGGAGCGAACAGG
rnacentral:rRNA from 1 species